rnacentral:rRNA from 1 species
CCUACGGGAGGCAGCAGUGGGGAAUAUUGCACAAUGGGGGAAACCCUGAUGCAGCGACGCCGCGUGGGUGACGAAGUAUUUCGGUAUGUAAAGCCCUAUCAGCAGGGAAGCAGAUGACAGUACCUGACCAAGAAGCCCCGGCUAACUACGUGCCGGCAGCCGCGGUAAUACGUAGGGGGCAGGCGUUAUCCGGAGUUACUGUGGGUAAAGGGGGCGUAGGUGGGAUGGCAAGACAGAAGGGAAAACCCGGGGCGUAACCCCGCGGCUUGCUUUUGGAACUGGCAGGCUGGAGUGCAGGAGGGGUAGGCGGAAUGCCCGGUGUAGCGGUGAAAUGCGUAGAUAUCAGGAGGAACACCGGUGGCGAAGGCGGCCUGCUGGACUGUAACUGACACUGAGGCUCGAAAGCGUGGGGAGCGAACAGGAUUAGAUACCCGAGUAGUC